rnacentral:lncRNA from 13 species
CACGUUGGAAUGUAUUAUCAAAUAUAUACAAAAUCAGAACCGUCGCAGAGUGCUACAGAAACCAGAUCUUUUACUAAUUAGUACAGAGGCAGAUAUUUUAGCUUUCGAAGAUGUGGAUGACAAAAUAUAUGAAGAAGUGGUGGCUUAUUUUUAACAUGUGGGUGGUUUCAUGACUAAAAAAGUUAUUAAUCUUUCUUUCAAGAAAACAAUAAAAAAUAAUUUAACUACAAAAUUUACAUAGCUUGGCUGUGAAGAAAGUGAUUUGCAACCUCUGUAUAAUACAUGCAUUAUAAUGGUAAUUUUUGACACCGUUUCCAACAAUUGAAACUUCUGCAAGCCAACCCGAGCAGAAUUUUAAUUUUUGGUUAAAGAGGCUUUGCGGUCAGCAAAACAGCGAUAUCGGACAGGUCUUCGUGUAAACAAUCGAAACCAUCAGAUAAUAACAGAAAUCCAUAGAAAGUUCUGAAAGAA